CCAGGUGUUGCUGGACUUCUUCUCCCAUUAUCUCUGACCGUUGGUUGUUGCUGGCUGGGGAUGAUGGGAGCUAAGAGUUCAGCAAAAUCUGG